UGUGCGCGUGAGCAAUCAUCGAUCGUUCAGCCCGCCCCGCCUGCGUCUGAGUGAGCGGCACACGUGCGUGUAGAACGCGUCAUUCCUCUGUGUGUGGGUGUGUUAACACAGCCUGUUUCAUCAUCAUCACGGUUUUAACAAAUGUUUGUUUAUGUCCCAAGCUAUUCCAGCUGAAAAUAUUUCAUCUUUUGGUCCUACUCCUUAAGCAGUUUGGAUUCUUUGACGGGAAAACAGCCUUCCCUUCAGAGACCUUGAACUUUGACCAUCGUGGAUCUGUUCCCGAACUUUGACCUGUGUACCAUGAUGCUAUCAGUGAAGAGUGACUACGUUCUGUGGAGCAUGUCUGAUAUCCUUCGUCUGUCUCUGGCCGCACCGUUAUCUCUCUACGGUUUGUGAACACUCACAGAUCUCUGGGACAUCAAAGAAUUACAACAUCAUCGACGUCUCUCAAUCCAUUGUUGACUAUUUUCUGACUGAUGUUGUAUUUGUUGAGAGUGGAAGUGUCACCGUAACCAUACCAAAGAUUCGUUGAUACAACCAAAGAUCAACCUGUUAUUGACUAUUAUCUAAUGAUUGUUGCCUUUGUUGAGAGUGGAAGUGCCACCGUAAACUACCAAAGAUUCGUUUAUAUCACCAAAGUUCUAACAGGAAACUGAAAAACCCCCAACUGAUUACCUUUGAGAACACGUCUUGAGUGUAAAAUUGUGCAAAUUGCUUAACUCGCUCUGUGGAAAUCAUUAUCAGGUGGACGAAGUGAUCAAACGAUCAAACAUUUCAGCUUUUUUGUGGUUAAAAUAUAUCGUUUAUCCGAACAAACAUAGUAUCUGUGUUAACUACUUGUGGCGAACGCAUCAUUUCAUUUAUAAGAACAUUUGUGGUCAGCUGUAUGACCGGUUGUAGCUGGAGUGUUUGAAUAAGUCGACAGGGAUUUUGUUGUUACAUGUUUGAGCACAUAGUCAUUUUGUUUUCAAAUCAAAAUCAACGCCUGUGAUUGAACAAAGCCAAAGAAAGACCUGUAUUUAUAUAACCUGUUUCAAGACGCUGAACAUAUCAGUAUUUUUCUUUUACUUAUCCGCGGACUGUUACAGCUUUGCAUUUUUAUACUUACCAAUUUACGCCGACAA